rnacentral:tRNA from 1 species
GAGGGUAUAGCUCAGAGGUAGAGUGUGUGCUUAGCAUGCAUGAGGGCCUGGGUUCAAUCCCCAGUACCUCUA